AUUGAACGCUGGCGGCAUGCCUUACACAUGCAAGUCGAACGGUAUCGGGCCUUCGGGUGCCGACGAGUGGCGAACGGGUGAGUAAUACAUCGGAACGUGCCCGAUCGUGGGGGAUAACGAGGCGAAAGCUUUGCUAAUACCGCAUACGAUCUACGGAUGAAAGCAGGGGACCGCAAGGCCUUGCGCGGACGGAGCGGCCGAUGGCAGAUUAGGUAGUUGGUGGGAUAAAAGCUUACCAAGCCGACGAUCUGUAGCUGGUCUGAGAGGAUGAUCAGCCACACUGGGACUGAGACACGGCCCAGACUCCUACGGGAGGCAGCAGUGGGGAAUUUUGGACAAUGGGCGCAAGCCUGAUCCAGCCAUGCCGCGUGCAGGAUGAAGGCCUUCGGGUUGUAAACUGCUUUUGUACGGAACGAAAAGCCUUCUUUUAAUACAGGAGGGUCAUGACGGUACCGUAAGAAUAAGCACCGGCUAACUACGUG
rnacentral:rRNA from 1 species